rnacentral:rRNA from 1 species
UACGUAGGGACCAAGCGUUGUUCGGAUUUACUGGGCGUAAAGGGCGCGUAGGCGGCAUGACAAGUCACUUGUGAAAUCUCCGGGCUUAACUCGGAACGGCCAAGUGAUACUGUCAAGCUAGAGUGCAGAAAGGGCAAUCGGAAUUCUUGGUGUAGCGGUGAAAUGCGUAGAUAUCAAGAGGAACACCUGAGGCGAAGGCGGGUUGCUAGGCUGACACUGACGCUGAGGCGCGAAAGCUAGGGGAGCGAACGGG